rnacentral:rRNA from 1 species
UUAAAUUGAAGAGUUUGAUCAUGGCUCAGAUUGAACGCUGGCGGCAGGCCUAACACAUGCAAGUCGAACGGUAACAGGAAACAGCUUGCUGUUUCGCUGACGAGUGGCGGACGGGUGAGUAAUGUCUGGGAAACUGCCUGAUGGAGGGGGAUAACUACUGGAAACGGUAGCUAAUACCGCAUAACGUCGCAAGACCAAAGAGGGGGACCUUAGGGCCUCUUGCCAUCGGAUGUGCCCAGAUGGGAUUAGCUAGUAGGUGGGGUAAUGGCUCACCUAGGCGACGAUCCCUAGCUGGUCUGAGAGGAUGACCAGCCACACUGGAACUGAGACACGGUCCAGACUCCUACGGGAGGCAGCAGUGGGGA